rnacentral:lncRNA from 10 species
GGAGCUGGUCAGGAAGGAGGAAGGGAUGAGGAGUCUGAGGCUCAAGGAAGUGACAUGACUUGCCCAAGGUCACAUAAUCAGUUGGAACUUGACUAGGGACUUACAUUCCCAUCUGAUUUCAGUCCAGAACCCUGCACUCUGUUUGGUGCAGCCUAUGAUUGACGGAGAAGGUACUUGGCAAACCAUAAAGCAAUGAAUAUCAUCAUCAUCGUCAUCGCCAUCAUCGUCAUCAUCAUGAGUAGCAGCAACAGCAUUUUAUUUUUUUAGGGCAAUUGCGGUUCUACAACGGCAGUAAUGGGAGCAGCAUCCUUCCCAGCCCAGCCACCAGAGGGCGGCAGAGCCCAGGGCUGGGAUAGCGGGGUCCUCCGAGCGCAGCCUGCUCAUUGCCCACAUUCCUGUGGGUUGAGUCCUCCUGAGGCUUGGCUGUGUCUGUGGGGCAGGGGUAGGGAGUAGGGGCAGGGGCAGUGGGCUGGGUAGAGGGAAGGGAGGGCAUAGAGCCCUGGAGACAGGAGCACAUGGCCAGUCCUGGCCUCAGCUGUGAGGGUUCCUAAGUCUGAAACAUGCUCAGAGGCUCCAGAGACCACCCCCUUGGUCCUAUGAUGUCCCAGUCCUUCAUGUCAAGUUCUUCUUCUUCUUUUUAUUUUUCUUAUAUAAAAAUAUGAAUCACAGAAAUAGUUAGUGGUUGUAUUUACAAUUUGAACUUCAUUAUCACAUGGCACAGUAACUCACAUAAUGUAUCCAUUCUUUAUAUUGGUGUAAUUUUUUUUAUACUUUAAUUUCUGGGAUACAUGUGUUGAACAUGGAGGUUUGUUACAUAGGUAUACACGUGCCAUGGUGGUUUGCUGCACCCAUCAACCCGCUAUUUACAUUAGGUAUUUCUCCUAAUGCUAUCCCUUCCCUAGCCCCCCAUGCCUCCCUUUUUUUUUUUUUUUUUUUAAGAGUCUCGCUCUGUCACCCAGGCUGGAGUGCAGUGGCACAAUCUCAGCUCACUGCAACUUCCGCCUCCCAGGCUCAAGCGAUUCUCUUUCCUCAGCCUCCUGAGUAGCUGGGAUUACAGGCAUGCACCACCAUGCCAGGCUAAUUUUUGUAUUUUUAGCAGAGAUGGGUUUUUGCCAUGUUGGCCAGGCUGGUCUCGUACUCCUGACCUCAGGUGAUCUACCCACCUCGGCAUUCCAAAGUGCUGGGAUUACAGGCGUGAGCCACUGCCCCGGAUAUGCCAAGUUCUUGACUGAAUAAGGGGACAAUAAAAAUCACCGCCACUGUGCACUGAGUGUUGUUUACCACUCCAUUGGCACCAAUUAUGCCCUUUAAUCCUUGUAACUCUGCUAGGAGCAGGUUCUGUUCAACUCAGCCAAACUUUACUAAGAAGGAAAGGGAAGCUCAGAGAGGAGAAGUGACUUGCCUGAAGUCACACAGCAAGUAAAAGGCAGAGCUUCUUUGAAACCAGACCCACCAGACCUAGGCCUACUCCCCGAAGCCCUUGACUAUCACAACUUCCCCGACCCUAGCUCUGCAGCGAUUCCAGCUCAAAGUGUAAGCAUGUUCCCCAGCCCCCAGGAUUCUCACAACAGCUUGAGAGGCUGGAAGUGAAGACACGGAGGAUGUGCCAGUGCUGUACCCGAGCCCACUCAGACGGGCUCUCAGGAGGAGCUCUGCCCAGGCCGGGCACAGUGGCUCACACCUGUCAUCCCAGCACUUUGGGAGGCUGAGGCAGAAGGAUCACUUGAGCUCAGGAGUUUGAGACUAGCCUGGGCAACAUAGUGAGACAUCAUCUCUAAAAAAAUUUUUUUUGACAGGGUAUGGUGGCUCAUGCCUGUAAUCCCAGCACUUUGGC